GCCCACAACCAAAUCACUUUGAGUGUGUCCGAUCUCGUAAGAUCUCGGAAGCUAAGCAUGGGUUGAGCGCGCUUAGCACUUGGAUUGCGAGACUGCCUGGGAAUAUCAGGUGUUAUAGGCU
rnacentral:rRNA from 1 species